rnacentral:rRNA from 1 species
GUAGGUGGCAAGCGUUGUCCGGGAAUUAUUGGGCGUAAAGCGCGCGCAGGCGGUUCUUUAAGUCUGAUGUGAAAGCCCACGGGCUCAACCGUGGAGGGUCAUUGGAAACUGGAGAACUUGAGUACAGAAGAGGAAAGCGGAAUUCCACGUGUAGCGGUGAAAUGCGUAGAGAUGUGGAGGAACACCAGUGGCGAAGGCGGCUUUCUGGUCUGUAACUGACGCUGAGGCGCGAAAGCGUGGGGAGCAAACAGGAUUAGAUACCCUGGUAGUCCACGCCGUAAACGAUGAGUGCUAAGUGUUAGGGGGUUUCCGCCCCUUAGUGCUGCGGCUAACGCAUUAAGCACUCCGCCUGGGGAGUACGGCCGCAAAGGCUGA